rfam:Ovis aries breed Texel chromosome 13, whole genome shotgun sequence.
UCCCUGGUGGCUCAGAUGGUAAAGCGUCUGCCUGCAAUGCGGGAGACCUGGGUUUGAUUCCUGGGUCGGGAA